rnacentral:rRNA from 1 species
CGAAUGCUGACAUAAGUAACGAUAAAGCGGGUGAAAAGCCCGCUCGCCGGAAGACCAAGGGUUCCUGUCCAACGUUAAUCGGGGCAGGGUGAGUCGACCCCUAAGGCGAGGCCGAAAGGCGUAGUCGAUGGGAAACAGGUUAAUAUUCCUGUACUUGGUGUUACUGCGAAGGGGGGACGGAGAAGGCUAUGUUGGCCGGGCGACGGUUGUCCCGGUUUAAGCGUGUAGGCUGGUUUUCCAGGCAAAUCCGGAAAAUCAAGGCUGAGGCGUGAUGACGAGGCACUACGGUGCUGAAGCAACAAAUGCCCUGCUUCCAGGAAAAGCCUCUAAGCAUCAGGUAACAUCAAAUCGUACCCCAAACCGACACAGGUGGUCAGGUAGAGAAUACCAAGGCGCUUGAGAGAACUCGGGUGAAGGAACUAGGCAAAAUGGUGCCGUAACUUCGGGAGAAGGCACGCUGAUAUGUAGGUGAAGUCCCUCGCGGAUGGAGCUGAAAUCAGUCGAAGAUACCAGCUGGCUGCAACUGUUUAUUAAAAACACAGCACUGUGCAAACACGAAAGUGGACGUAUACGGUGUGACGCCUGCCCGG